rnacentral:lncRNA from 1 species
ACCACUAUAUUUUAUAAGAAAUGGUAAGGUGUAACCUCCGCACCAUAUGCAUAGACACAUGAUUGUUCUUGAAGUGUAAAAUUCAAUCUCUUUAAAUGGGGCAAGAUUAUGAAGCCAUGUACCAAUAUAUGGUGGUUUUGGCUCGUCAGUGGUCUUUCUUUACUUUUGUUGGGAAUUACUUCUCACUCCCGUUGAAACUUCACUUUCUUAGUAAAAGUUUGAGGGAGGAGAUGGUGCAAUAUAAGACUAUAGUUGCUGUCACUC